rnacentral:rRNA from 1 species
CCUACGUGAGGCAGCAGUGAGGAAUAUUGGUCAAUGGACGAGAGUCUGAACCAGCCAAGUAGCGUGAAGGAUGACUGCCCUAUGGGUUGUAAACUUCUUUUAUAUGGGAAUAAAAUGUUCCACGUGUGGGAUUUUGUAUGUACCAUAUGAAUAAGGAUCGGCUAACUACGUGCCAGCAGCCGCGGUAAUACGGAGGAUCCGAGCGUUAUCCGGAUUUCUUGGGUUUAACGGGAGCGUAGGUGGAUUGCUAAGGCAGUUGUGAAAGUUUGGGGCUCAACCGUGAAAUUGCAGUUGAAACUGGCAGUCUUGAGUACAGUAGAGGUGGGCGGAAUUCGUGGUGUAGCGGUGAAAUGCUUAGAUAUCACGAAGAACUCCGAUUGCGAAGGCAGUUCACUGGACUGCAACUGACACUGAGGCUCGAAAGUGUGGGUAUCAAACAGGAUUAGAUACCCCGGUAGUC